GACGAACGCUGGCGGCGUGCUUAACACAUGCAAGUCGAACGGGAUAAUUUGAGAGCUUGCUCUUAGAGAAUCUAGUGGCAAACGGGUGAGUAACACGUAGACAACCUGCCGACAGGAUGGGGACAACAUUCCGAAAGGAAUGCUAAUACCGAAUGAAGCGGAGGAGAGGCAUCUCUCCUCCGUGAAAGAUGGCCUCUGAAUAUGCUAUCACCUGUCGAUGGGUCUGCGUCUGAUUAGCUAGUUGGUGAGGUAACGGCUCACCAAGGCGACGAUCAGUAGCCGGUCUGAGAGGAUGAACGGCCACAUUGGGACUGAGACACGGCCCAGACUCCUACGGGAGGAAGCAGUGGGGAAUCUUCCGCAAUGGGCGCAAGCCUGACGGAGCAACGCCGCGUGAGUGAAGAAGGUCUUCGGAUCGUAAAGCUCUGUUGACGGGGACGAACGUGCGAAGGGUGAAUAAUCCUUUGUAAUGACGGUACCUGUCGAGGAAGCCACGGCUAACUACGUG
rnacentral:rRNA from 1 species